GUGUCGUCGUAGCAACAAGUAGUUGUUUAGCAGUCCUAGUUGGAGGUUUUUCUUCUUGUAUCACACUUUAUGCAGAUAGCUCAAGUGGGAAAUAAAAUCCCGCUCAUAUCCUACA